GACGAACGCUGGCGGCGUGCUUAACACAUGCAAGUCGAACGGAAAGGCCCUGCUUUUGUGGGGUGCUCGAUUGGCGAACGGGUGAGUAACACGUGAGUAACCUGCCCUUGACUUUGGGAUAACUUCAGGAAACUGGGGCUAAUACCGGAUAGGAGCUCCUGCUGCAUGGUGGGGGUUGGAAAGUGUCGGCGGUGUGGGAUGGACUGGCGGCUUAUGAGCUGGAUGGUGGGGUAGUGGCUUACCAAGGGUAUGACGGGUAGCCGGCCUUAGAGGGUUACCGGGCACAUUGCGACUGAGAGACGGCGCAGACGCCAACGGGAGGCAGCAGGGGGGAGUCUUACACAACGGGCGGAAGCGUGAUACAGCAGCGCCGCGAGCGGGAUGACGGCUUUCGAGUUGUAAACAGCUUUGGCCUGUGACGAAGCCGGAGUGACGGUACUUGGUCAAGAAGCCCCGGCUAACUACGUG
rnacentral:rRNA from 1 species